AAGUCGUAACAAGGUCUCCGUUGGUGAACCAGCGGAGGGAUCAUUAAAGAGUUAUCAUAACUCCCAAACCCAUGUGAACCUACCUUUGUUGCCUCGGCAAGUCUGCAGUUUACCCUGUGAGACCCUACCCUGUAGGGACCUUACCCGGUAAUUGCAGGUAAAGCCUGCCGGUGGUCUAUUAAACUCUGUUUACUAUGUUUAUUCUGAAUAAUAUAACUAAAUAAGUUAAAACUUUCAACAACGGAUCUCUUGGUUCUG
rnacentral:misc_RNA from 1 species